CGAUAACGGCGUCGAGCGGCGGACGGGUGAGUAAUGCCUAGGAAAUUGCCCUGAUGUGGGGGAUAACCAUUGGAAACGAUGGCUAAUACCGCAUGAUGCCUACGGGCCAAAGAGGGGGACCUUCGGGCCUCUCGCGUCAGGAUAUGCCUAGGUGGGAUUAGCUAGUUGGUGAGGUAAGGGCUCACCAAGGCGACGAUCCCUAGCUGGUCUGAGAGGAUGAUCAGCCACACUGGAACUGAGACACGGUCCAGACUCCUACGGGAGGCAGCAGUGGGGAAUAUUGCACAAUGGGCGCAAGCCUGAUGCAGCCAUGCCGCGUGUGUGAAGAAGGCCUUCGGGUUGUAAAGCACUUUCAGUCGUGAGGAAGGUAGUGUAGUUAAUAGCUGCAUUAUUUGACGUUAGCGACAGAAGAAGCACCGGCUAACUCCGUGCCAGCAGCCGCGGUAAUACGGAGGGUGCGAGCGUUAAUCGGAAUUACUGGGCGUAAAGCGCAUGCAGGUGGUUUGUUAAGUCAGAUGUGAAAGCCCGGGGCUCAACCUCGGAAUAGCAUUUGAAACUGGCAGACUAGAGUACUGUAGAGGGGGGUAGAAUUUCAGGUGUAGCGGUGAAAUGCGUAGAGAUCUGAAGGAAUACCGGUGGCGAAGGCGGCCCCCUGGACAGAUACUGACACUCAGAUGCGAAAGCGUGGGGAGCAAACAGGAUUAGAUACCCUGGUAGUCCACGCCGUAAACGAUGUCUACUUGGAGGUUGUGGCCUUGAGCCGUGGCUUUCGGAGCUAACGCGUUAAGUAGACCGCCUGGGGAGUACGGUCGCAAGAUUAAAACUCAAAUGAAUUGACGGGGGCCCGCACAAGCGGUGGAGCAUGUGGUUUAAUUCGAUGCAACGCGAAGAACCUUACCUACUCUUGACAUCCAGAGAACUUUCCAGAGAUGGAUUGGUGCCUUCGGGAACUCUGAGACAGGUGCUGCAUGGCUGUCGUCAGCUCGUGUUGUGAAAUGUUGGGUUAAGUCCCGCAACGAGCGCAACCCUUAUCCUUGUUUGCCAGCGAGUAAUGUCGGGAACUCCAGGGAGACUGCCGGUGAUAAACCGGAGGAAGGUGGGGACGACGUCAAGUCAUCAUGGCCCUUACGAGUAGGGCUACACACGUGCUACAAUGGCGCAUACAGAGGGCGGCCAACUUGCGAAAGUGAGCGAAUCCCAAAAAGUGCGUCGUAGUCCGGAUUGGAGUCUGCAACUCGACUCCAUGAAGUCGGAAUCGCUAGUAAUCGUGGAUCAGAAUGCCACGGUGAAUACGUUCCCGGGCCUUGUACACACCGCCCGUCACACCAUGGGAGUGGGCUGCAAAAGAAGUAGGUAGUUUAACCUUCGGGGGGACGCUUACCACUUUGUGGUUCAUGACUGGGUG
rnacentral:rRNA from 1 species